GGGCAAGUGGCGGAAUUGGUAUACGCGUUAGUCUUAGGAACUAAUGUCGCAAGACUUGGGGGUUCGAGUCCCCCCUUGCCCACCA
rnacentral:tRNA from 1 species